rnacentral:rRNA from 1 species
AAACUGAAGAGUUUGAUCAUGGCUCAGAUUGAACGCUGGCGGCAGGCCUAACACAUGCAAGUCGAGCGGAAACGAUGGAAGCUUGCUUCCAGGCGUCGAGCGGCGGACGGGUGAGUAAUGCAUAGGAAUCUGCCCGAUAGUGGGGGAUAACGUGGGGAAACUCACGCUAAUACCGCAUACGUCCUACGGGAGAAAGCAGGGGAUCUUCGGACCUUGCGCUAUCGGAUGAGCCUAUGUCGGAUUAGCUAGUUGGUGAGGUAACGGCUCACCAAGGCGACGAUCCGUAGCUGGUCUGAGAGGAUGAUCAGCCACACUGGGACUGAGACACGGCCCAGACUCCUACGGGAGGCAGCAGUGGGGAAUAUUGGACAAUGGGGGAAACCCUGAUCCAGCCAUGCCGCGUGUGUGAAGAAGGCCUUCGGGUUGUAAAGCACUUUCAGCGAGGAAGAAGGCCUGAGGGCUAAUACCCUUCAGGAAGGACAUCACUCGCAGAAGAAGCACCGGCUAACUCCGUGCCAGCAGCCGCGGUAAUACGGAGGGUGCGAGCGUUAAUCGGAAUUACUGGGCGUAAAGCGCGCGUAGGUGGCUUGAUAAGCCGGUUGUGAAAGCCCCGGGCUCAACCUGGGAACGGCAUCCGGAACUGUCAGGCUAGAGUGCAGGAGAGGAAGGUAGAAUUCCCGGUGUAGCGGUGAAAUGCGUAGAGAUCGGGAGGAAUACCAGUGGCGAAGGCGGCCUUCUGGACUGACACUGACACUGAGGUGCGAAAGCGUGGGUAGCAAACAGGAUUAGAUACCCUGGUAGUCCACGCCGUAAACGAUGUCGACUAGCCGUUGGGUUCCUUGAGAACUUUGUGGCGCAGUUAACGCGAUAAGUCGACCGCCUGGGGAGUACGGCCGCAAGGUUAAAACUCAAAUGAAUUGACGGGGGCCCGCACAAGCGGUGGAGCAUGUGGUUUAAUUCGAUGCAACGCGAAGAACCUUACCUACCCUUGACAUCGUGCGAACUU